AUGGUUAAAAGAAGUUUACUAGGCAGAGUAUUUACCCUUUGUUUGGUAUAUGUCCCUAAUAUUAAGCAAGACACCUUCCUUGAUGGUUUUAUUUUUGUCUUGCUGCCUUCUGAAAAUCUCACUACUGAGGGAGAUUUAAACCUUACCUUAAAUUUUCCAGUUGAUAUUUCAGAUACUAGAAGUCAGGAAUUUUAUUCAUCAGGUCCAUUCCUGACACAAAAUAGUAUCCAGCCAGGUGUCUCGGCUGAAAAAGUGCUGCUCUCUCUAAAAAUUUAUUUGUUUUAUGCCCAUUUGUUGAUCACACCAGUAUAUUAUUUAUCAUUUUCUGGUUCCUCACAGGAUUCUCUUCCUCAAACAAAUAGAGGCCAAAUGACAUGGUCUGUCUCUCUUUCUGCCUUGACAACACAACCAGACUGUCUUGUUAGUCAGAGGCAUAGAAAACGUGAACUGAACAAUUUUCUUUUCAACUCAUUUCUAGCACUGGAGGUUGAAACCAGCAAAAAUCAGAUAUGUUUCCAUCACGGCACAUUACCUAGCAGCUCUUCAUAUGGGAUUUAUAAGGUUGUACUGAAGAGAAAAUUAAUUGAGAAAAGUUCAGGAAUUGAAAGGGGAGAAAAUGCAGCACGCAGAUUUCUUAUCUCUGAAAUAAAAUAUUUUGAGGUGUAUAAAAAUGUAGGUGCAAAGAAAAUGUUGAAUAAGCUUCUAUUCCUAGGAUGUCUACUACAUGCUCUAGUGUUAGAAAAAAUAGCAUGUAUUUUACAUCAGUGUAGAAAAAUUUCCAGCAAGAUAGAGAAGAAAAGGCAUGCUGUUACAAUGUAUAAGGUAAGAAGUCAAAGAGAAAAACAUAUUAUAAUAGCUACUAGGAAACAAACCAGAAAAAUGCAUUACCUUCUGAGGACUCACAUCAGAGAAGUUACAGUUGAAGUUAACACUCAGCAUCUGAAGGGAGAAUCUGAGGCCACCAAAUCAAGUAGAGGAUCUGAUCCAGAGAAGCUCUCGAUCAAGUUAUAUGAAGCACUAAAAGAUCACCUUCUCCUCACAUUAACUGACUUUUUAUGUUAUUUUCUGGACUUCAAACCUUUAGCAGAUACUCUGAAGGAAGCUGGUAAUAUUGUUUUAAAGGCUAGGAAAGAGAAAGGUGAUUUUUCAUCAGAUAGGGACAUGCCCCUGUUAGAUACAGAGUGUAGGACACUCGUAGCAGUACUGGCAGCUGCAUUAGAAUCAGCAUUACCUAAAGUACUUGUCAUAGCCUCAGUGAAAAUUGGUCAGAGACAACUGCUUUUAGAUAACUGCCAGAUAUUAAUCACGAGACAUUCAGACUUAACGUUAAAGUUUGGUAUACUAUUUUCAUUGAGAAAGGAAAUAUUAAUAGAUGUAAGAAAUAAAUGGACUGAAGUAGUACUCUGUAAACCCUUAGAACCCUCCCAGCUUUCUAGACAGACAGGGAAUUGUAAUUCACUGUUACCAAUCUUGUUUGCAUUAUUAAGGAAACAAUUUGUACAAAAAGUGAGGAUGAAUAAACUAGAACCACGUUUAAAUGCAAACAAGUUGAUUUAUGAAACAAUGUUAUCUUUGAAGGAAAUCCCAUUAGCAAUUCAGAGUGCUUCAAACCCACUGCAUUUGAGAACAUUUCGGCUUCUAAAAUUAAUUAUUUCAGUUCACAAGCUUUGUGAAUUUCAUGUUCAGGUCAAAAUGAGAUCAGGCUACAAAUUCAUUUUAAGGUGGUCAAACGCCACAGAAAGUACCGGGUAG
rnacentral:lncRNA from 1 species